CAAAGGCUCCAAAGGAAGCCACGGCUAACUCUGUGCCAGCAGCCGCGGUAAUACAGAGGUGGCAAGCGUUGUUCGGAAUUAUUGGGCGUAAAGAGCACGUAGGUGGGUUUGUAAGUCAGAUGUGGAAGCCUUCUGCUCAACGGAAGAAUUGCAUCUGAAACUGCGAGUCUUGAGUGUAGGAGGGGAGAAUGGAACUUCUGGUGGAGCGGUGAAAUGCGUAGAUAUCAGAAGGAACGCCGGCGGCGAAAGCGAUUCUCUGGCCUAUUACUGACUCUGAGUGUGCGAAAGCUAGGGGAGCAAACGGGAUUAGAUACCCCGGUAGUCCUAGCCGUAAA
rnacentral:rRNA from 1 species